ensembl:lincRNA linc-93 ncRNA
GAGUCUCAUAGUUAUUUGGUACUAAUGGAAAAUAAAAACUUUACUUUCAUAUCUUUCCUUAUAGAGAUGGUGGGACGAUUGGUAUUUGGCGAUUGGAUGCGGUUGGGUCCCAAAUGAUUAAUCGGUACGACCCUGGAUUGGUAUUUCCACCGGAUCCUGCCUGAUAUUCGGACUUCCAACUCCACCCUGUGCGUAGCUCUCACCAGAAUAUCCAGAUGAUGAAGCAGCCGAUUCGUCAACCAUUGAUUCUUCUUCUUCGUGAGUGACGUUCCAAAAUUAUGAGAAAAUAUGAUCCGGUAUUUUUAAAUCAUAAAUCUCAACAUUUCGCAUCUGGGUAAUAUCAAUUAGUGAUUGCAUUUUACAAUGUGAUACAUCCAGAAUAAAAUGAUGAAUUGAAUG